rnacentral:rRNA from 1 species
AGAGUUUGAUCAUGGCUCAGAUUGAACGCUGGCGGCAUGCCUUACACAUGCAAGUCGAACGGCAGCACGGGAGCAAUCCUGGUGGCGAGUGGCGAACGGGUGAGUAAUACAUCGGAACGUGCCCAGUUGUGGGGGAUAGCCCGGCGAAAGCCGGAUUAAUACCGCAUACGACCUGAGGGUGAAAGCGGGGGACCUGCAAGGGCCUCGCGCAGUUGGAGCGGCCGAUGUCAGAUUAGCUAGUUGGUGGGGUAAAGGCCUACCAAGGCGACGAUCUGUAGCUGGUCUGAGAGGACGACCAGACACACUGGAACUGAGACACGGUCCAGACUCCUACGGGAGGCAGCAGUGGGGAAUUUUCCGCAAUGGGCGAAAGCCUGACGGAGCAAUACCGCGUGAGUGAAGAAGGCCUUCGGGUUGUAAAGCUCUUUCGCAAGGGAAGAAACGAUACAGACGAAUAAUCUGUGUUAAUGACGGUACCUUGAUAAGAAGCACCGGCUAACUACGUGCCAGCAGCCGCGGUAAUACGUAGGGUGCGAGCGUUAAUCGGAAUUACUGGGCGUAAAGCGUGCGCAGGCGGUUUUGUAAGUCAGAUGUGAAAUCCCCGAGCUCAACUUGGGAACUGCGUUUGAAACUACAAGGCUAGAGUAUGGUAGAGGGGGGUAAAAUUCCACGUGUAGCAGUGAAAUGCGUAGAGAUGUGGAGGAAUACCAAUGGCGAAGGC